GCGAAAACUUCGCACUGUGCGAAAGCACGACGAGGGAAUCCCAAGUGCUGGCUCGUAAGAGUCAGCUGUUUUUCUGUCUAAAAAACAGAGAGAGUAAGAGCUGGGUAAGACGGGUGCCAGCCGCCGCGGUAAUACCUGCAGCUCAAGUGGUGGCCGCUAUUAUUGGGCCUAAAACGUCCGUAGCCGGUUCUAUAAAUGCCUGGGUAAAUCGUACGGCUUAACCGUACGAAUUCCGGGUAGACUGUUCAACUUGGGACCGGGAGAGGCUAGAGGUACUCCUGGGGUAGAGGUGAAAUUCUGUAAUCCUAGGGGGACCACCAGUGGCGAAGGCGUCUAGCUAGAACGGGUCUGACGGUGAGGGACGAAGCCCUGGGGAGCAAACGGGAUUAGAUACCCCGGUAGUCCAGGGUGUAAACGCUGCUCGCUUGAUGUUAGUCGGGCUCCGAGCCCAACUAGUGUCGGAGAGAAGUUGUUAAGCGAGCUGCCUGGGGAGUACGGUCGCAAGACUGAAACU
rnacentral:rRNA from 1 species